rnacentral:rRNA from 1 species
UCGUAGGUGAACCUGCGGAAGGAUCAUUAAAGAGUAAGGGUGCUCAGCGCCCGACCUCCAACCCUUUGUUGUUAAAACUACCUUGUUGCUUUGGCGGGACCGCUCGGUCUCGAGCCGCUGGGGAUUCGUCCCAGGCGAGCGCCCGCCAGAGUUAAACCAAACUCUUGUUAUUAAACCGGUCGUCUGAGUUAAAAUUUUGAAUAAAUCAAAACUUUCAACAACGGAUCUCUUGGUUCUCGCAUCGAUGAAGAACGCAGCGAAAUGCGAUAAGUAAUGUGAAUUGCAGAAUUCAGUGAAUCAUCGAAUCUUUGAACGCACAUUGCGCCCCUUGGUAUUCCGAGGGGCAUGCCUGUUCGAGCGUCAUUACACCACUCAAGCUAUGCUUGGUAUUGGGUGCCGUCCUUAGUUGGGCGCGCCUUAAAGACCUCGGCGAGGCCUCACCGGCUUUAGGCGUAGUAGAAUUUAUUCGAACGUCUGUCAAAGGAGAGGACUUCUGCCGACUGAAACCUUUUAUUUUUCUAGGUUGACCUCGGAUCAGGUAGGGAUACCCGCUGAACUUAAGCAUAUCAAUAGCCCGGAGGAA